rnacentral:guide_RNA from 1 species
UAUCCAUACACAGAAAAUUAGAUGAGCGUGUAAAAUGAGUAAUUAUUAAUGU